rnacentral:lncRNA from 1 species
UGAAAAUUUAUGAAUCCCAAAAAUAUGUGAUUAUAAUUUAUUAUUAAUUGAAUUAAAAUCUGAAUUUAAUUAAUACAUGGUUUUAGUGUCAUAAAGUCCCAUUAAUACUCAUAUCCUCAUCCUUUUCCACUAAAGUGUCGAAUCAUAUUCAAACCCUCCUAAAACACAAAAGCACUUAUCACGCGCCUAACUACCGCGUGAAACAUCCUUCAGCUACUCCAUGCCCAUCAUGAAAAUUAUGUACUGUCCACCCGAAAAAAUAAAAAAAAAAUAAAAAUAAUCCUCUUUAUUAUCCGCUUCAGCCUUCCCUUAUAAGCUCGAGCUUUCUCAAGCUUUUUACCAUUUCAAAAAUACCACGAAAAUGAGAAACAAAGGAAAAGUUCACCCCUUAAUUUCUUCAUCUUCAUCUUCAUCGUACAGUGCUAGCAAGGAUGUUUUGCCCGUGUUAAAGCUACUGCCUGCUGUUUAAGAGCAUUCAAACCUUUUGUACCAAUGUGACCAAGUCUACCAUGCCAUAACUUUGCUAGAUUAAAAUCAUCAUUUAAAACUGCAUUAGACAGACCCAUAAGAGGUUUAGCAUUUAAGA